rnacentral:lncRNA from 1 species
AUGACUUACUGGGGAACCAGGUUAAAAACUAAAGAAGUGAAGAUUGGUCAUCUCUGCAGAGGAAAUUACAAGGUCUUUCUCAGGAGAAACAGCUGUAGAAUGUGGAAUCAGUUGUGUGGAAUUCCUGUUGGCAAGACCUUAGACCCUCGACUUCUGCUAGACCCAGCUGAGGGAUCAAAGAGAGAACUUUUGCAGAUCCCCACAGCAGUGAUGCUGAAAGCCAGGGCAGAUGGUUUCUGUCCCCCUGCAGUGUGACCAAGUGACCUCAGGGUGAGACAUGCUGAGUGAAACAGCUCUCCUUGAUCCAUGUGGGGCUGAUGGAUGCAGCAUUUAUUGUGCUCUUCAAUUAACUAGCAAAAGGUUACUUCACUGAUUAAGGUAGGCUGUUUGUUUUAAAAGUGUGCUUACAUAUUCAAGUAGUGUUUGUAUUAGAAUACAGACUGAUAUCUGUUAUUCCAACUUCUUUAAAUCCACCCUGAAUAGGAAGUGUUGUUGUCUAUCAAACCAGGUGGCAGGAAAUAACAACCCCCUCAAACUUGAGCAGAAGUUUGAAGCUACAGAAGCUGAUGUUGUAGUGGUAGUUCUGCUAAUCCCCCUAGCCAAGGCCUGUGUGGUACAGUGGAGUGUGUUUAAUUUGCUCAUCAAUUCAGAGCUGGGUUCCUGCUCAGUUAGGAGUAUUGCUGACUAAGCCACAAUUCCUCACAGUCUUAAAUUCAUUGCUCAGUCUUUGGGGUUUACCUAUGCAGAACUUGGGAAAUUCACUUUAGAGAACCUCAGUUCUUCCCCAUUAGGAUAAUGGAGAAGGAUCUGGAAGCAUGUUAAACAAUCCCUUUAUUCAGCAUCCAUUCUGAGUCAUAGUGAUGCCUUUCCCAAAGUGACAAACUGUUUGAUAAGGUACAGUCAUGUAGGAGCAGGCAGUACACAAGUGCAGUUAUUAAAAAUGAAUGCUGUAUCCUGUUUCCCUUGUGUAUCUUGUCACUGACAUGACUUCACAAGUUGCAAAUCUAUUAAACAUUUCAAACAUGGAACUGGAGCUCAUUAAGCAGAAUGUUGACUGGUAUAUAGCAAACCGUUUCACAUUCAAGACUGUUAACAUUUGUCUCCAGAGUUUUUUGUCUUCUAGGUUGUCACUAAGCAAUCCAGCUGUCUGGGAAUGCAGCCUGUGCUUCCUGUGAUCAGAAUGAGACUGUCCUUUGGGGUGAGGUAGUAGGUUGUAUAGUUUUAGGGCUAUGCCCUGCCUGUCAGAUAACUAUAC